UGACAAGUGAGCGACAGUGAAGAUACGGGUGGUGGUGACACUUCACCCGGAACGACUUUGAACUUAAAACAACAAGUGAUGGGCUACUUAGAGACAUGUUGGAAGCAGAAGAAGGACUAAAGAAGAUCACAUUACUGUUAGCUAAUAGAUAAGGAUGUGGGAUGUUGUAGUUUUCGGAAUAAGGAUAGGUGUCAGUGCAAUCAGUAUUAUCUUGGACUGUCGACCCUAUGAUGAUGAUUAAGCAGGUACAAUUACGAUUUUAAUAAUAAUUGACAAAAGAAGACAGCACACCAUCCGUCACAGAUUCUUCAAAAUCAUAAAUAUUAGUAAUUAAAGUUAUUAUCUUAUCAAUCAAUCGAGUGGAAAGAGAGACACCAGAUCGGUCCUGCGACAGACAGACGAACGCAACCAGUUUCUAUGUAAUACAUGGCGAUGCAGCCUACUGUAAAGUGAGAUCGACGAGAUUGCAUUGACAACUUAAUAAAUCAAAAACAAUGUUGAUUUAUUAACUGCGAAUGAGUCGACUUCCAAACAACAACGGCGUGUCGUUUAUUCUUCUAAAAUAGAACGCUUAUAUUGAUAAAGCAAACGAAUUUUUAAAUGACAAGUAGGCUAGACUGAGCUUGGCGCCAUAAUUUGUUGGUAAACCCACGUUACAGAACACUAUCUACAAAGCUGUUAAAAAAAUCGGCGGUGACUGGUACUAGCGGAUUACGGAAACGCGUGCCUGCUUCUAGGUGUAUAUUUAAGAACGAAAAGGGCUUUUGUUUAUAAAGAACAUUAUCCUCUUGGUCAGUAAUUUAAUCAUAUACGCUCAUAAGUACUUUAUCAAAUAGCGGAAAUGUAUGAAAUCCGUCGUUGUAUAUAAUUCCUAAAAUC